rnacentral:rRNA from 1 species
ACACUAUGUGUUGUUGGGUAGGGGAGCGUUCUGUAAGCCUGUGAAGGUGGCCUGUGAGGGUUGCUGGAGGUAUCAGAAGUGCGAAUGCUGACAUAAGUAACGAUAAAGCGGGUGAAAAGCCCGCUCGCCGGAAGACCAAGGGUUCCUGUCCAACGUUAAUCGGGGCAGGGUGAGUCGACCCCUAAGGCGAGGCCGAAAGGCGUAGUCGAUGGGAAACAGGUUAAUAUUCCUGUACUUGGUGUUACUGCGAAGGGGGGACGGAGAAGGCUAUGUUGGCCGGGCGACGGUUGUCCCGGUUUAAGCGUGUAGGCUGGUUUUCCAGGCAAAUCCGGAAAAUCAAGGCUGAGGCGUGAUGACGAGGCACUACGGUGCUGAAGCGACAAAUGCCCUGCUUCCAGGAAAAGCCUCUAAGCAUCAGGUAACAUCAAAUCGUACCCCAAACCGACACAGGUGGUCAGGUAGAGAAUACCAAGGCGCUUGAGAGAACUCGGGUGAAGGAACUAGGCAAAAUGGUGCCGUAACUUCGGGAGAAGGCACGCUGAUAUGUAGGUGAAGCGACUUGCUCGUGGAGCUGAAAUCAGUCGAAGAUACCAGCUGGCUGCAACUGUUUAUUAAAAACACAGCACUGUGCAAACACGAAAGUGGACGUAUACGGUGUGACGCCUGCCCGGUGCCGGAAGGUUAAUUGAUGGGGUUAGCGGUAACGCGAAGCUCUUGAUCGAAGCCCCGGUAAACGGCGGCCGUAACUAUAACGGUCCUAAGGUAGCGAAAUUCCUUGUCGGGUAAGUUCCGACCUGCACGAAUGGCGUAAUGAUGGCCAGGCUGUCUCCACCCGAGACUCAGUGAAAUUGAACUCGCUGUGAAGAUGCAGUGUACCCGCGGCAAGACGGAAAGACCCCGUGAACCUUUACUAUAGCUUGACACUGAACAUUGAGCCUUGAUGUGUAGGAUAGGUGGGAGGCUUUGAAGUGUGGACGCCAGUCUGCAUGGAGCCGACCUUGAAAUACCACCCUUUAAUGUUUGAUGUUCUAACGUGGGCCCCUUACCGGGGUUGCGGACAGUGUCUGGUGGGUAGUUUGACUGGGGCGGUCUCCUCCUAAAGAGUAACGGAGGAGCACGAAGGUUGGCUAAUCCUGGUCGGACAUCAGGAGGUUAGUGCAAUGGCAUAAGCCAGCUUGACUGCGAGCGUGACGGCGCGAGCAGGUGCGAAAGCAGGUCAUAGUGAUCCGGUGGUUCUGAAUGGAAGGGCCAUCGCUCAACGGAUAAAAGGUACUCCGGGGAUAACAGGCUGAUACCGCCCAAGAGUUCAUAUCGACGGCGGUGUUUGGCACCUCGAUGUCGGCUCAUCACAUCCUGGGGCUGAAGUAGGUCCCAAGGGUAUGGCUGUUCGCCAUUUAAAGUGGUACGCGAGCUGGGUUUAGAACGUCGUGAGACAGUUCGGUCCCUAUCUGCCGUGGGCGCUGGAGAACUGAGGGGGGCUGCUCCUAGUACGAGAGGACCGGAGUGGACGCAUCACUGGUGUUCGGGUUGUCAUGCCAAUGGCACUGCCCGGUAGCUAAAUGCGGAAGAGAUAAGUGCUGAAAGCAUCUAAGCACGAAACUUGCCCCGAGAUGAGUUCUCCCUGACUCCUUGAGAGUCCUGAAGGAACGUUGAAGACGACGACGUUGAUAGGCCGGGUGUGUAAGCGCAGCGAUGCGUUGAGCUAACCGGUACUAAUGAACCGUGAGGCUUAACCUU